rnacentral:rRNA from 1 species
UACGGAGGGUGCAAGCGUUAUCCGGAUUCACUGGGUUUAAGGGUGCGUAGGUGGGCAAGUAAGUCAGUGGUGAAAUCUCCGGGCUUAACCCGGAAACUGCCAUUGAUACUAUUUGUCUUGAAUACUGUGGAGGUCAGCGGAAUAUGUCAUGUAGCGGUGAAAUGCUUAGAUAUGACAUAGAACACCAAUUGCGAAGGCAGCUGGCUACACAAAUAUUGACACUGAGGCACGAAAGCGUGGGGAUCAAACAGG